GUAGCCACAGGCCAGUUCUGUCUUUCUAGCCUUGGCUCUCAGGGAGAACUUUGCCCCAGGUCAGAUCCAAGAUCCUGACUUACCCAAGAAAGGGAGUUUAGAUGUCAUAUGCGGAGAGCUGGGAGCCAAAUGUACUUUGCCCUAAAGAGCACAGUUUUGUGUGAGGGAGAAACAUACAAGUUGUCAUAGAGAAAUACAGGACUGAGACUGGGGAUGGAUCAGAGAAGGCAUGCCAAGGGAGAUAAUGCUUGAGCUAGGUCUUGAAGAUUGCUGCAGGAAUGGGGAUCUUCCCAACCGAAGGAUCAAACUCAAGUCUCUUGCAUCUCCACCAUGGGCAGGCAGAUUUUUACCACUGGCGCCACUUGGGAAACCUGAGUACUGGAUGUAUCAUAUUUGCUAAAUGGAGCCCUAGAGAGUCAGUGCAUCUUCAAUGAGAACUAGGAGCUGCAGACCCAGAGGGGAGGAAAAUUCAGCAUUUACUCUCAAGACCCAUGAUGAAUAUGGAUGAGGGCGUCAGCCACACCCCACAGCGCAUGCCUCUCUUUGUGUCACGGACAGUGAAUUCUCCCAGGAAGUAAGCUUCAGACAAUGGGACCACAUGGUCCUUUUAAUAAAAAUGACUGCCAUUAUCGGAUGCUUCCCUGG
rnacentral:lncRNA from 1 species